UACGUAGGUGGCGAGCGUUGUCCGGAUUUACUGGGCGUAAAGAGCGCGCAGGCGGCUGGUCAAGUCCGAUGUGAAAGCUCCCGGCUUAACUGGGAAAUUGCAUCGGAAACUGAUCGGCUGGAAGGUGGGAGAGGGUAGCGGAAUUCCCGGUGUAGUGGUGAAAUGCGUAGAUAUCAGGAGGAACACCUGCGGUGUAGACGGCUUACUGGACCAUAACUGACGCUGAGGCACGAAAGCGUGGGUAGCAAACAGG
rnacentral:rRNA from 1 species